ACUUUUCUCCUGUCUGUUAUAAUUAUUAUGCAGUAGAAGAUUCAUUUUCUUACUGAAUAGUUAAAAUUACAGUUAUCGAUUUGUUUAUCUAGUAACUGAUGAUGCAAGGAUGAUUCACACUUCACAGUAACUUCAACAAUAAGUUGUGUUUAUGCAAGGAUAAUAUAGUGUAUGAGUUUUGGAAGUCCAUUUUUAAAGUCAGAAUGUGCUAUCAAUUCCUCCUUUGUAAGAAGCUAAAAGUUAGUUUUGAUACCAACGGAGCUAGAAGCCAACAAAAGUGGUUUUUCCGGCUAACUAGCCAUGUGCACGUUGCACACAUUCAAAGAGGUAAUAAUUUUUAGUAAUUUUUCUUUUCUAAAAUGUUUGAUAAGUUUUAAGUUUCUACGUUUGAGAGUAAAAGCAUGAAUUGUGUUCAAAUUUGGGUUAAUUGCACCAUUGAUUCCCGGUUAUUACUAAGUUUUUAGUUAUUAUUUCUUUUAAUUGAAUUCUUACUUUUAAAAGUACAGUUACAUAACCUGUCAUCUCAGUUUCAAUUUAUAUUUGCUAUGUUAGCACUAAUUUUUACUACAUGCCAAUUAGUAUUAAUACGUUAUAAUUAAUUUAGAAAUAUCAAAAAUCAAGGAAUGUCAUUUGGAAAGCAAAAAAGUUGAGGUGACAUUUCAAAAUGGUGAAAGGGCAUCCCAAGAGAUACACGAAUAUAAAUCUCGAGAAUAAGAGAGAGAGAAUAAGAGGAAGGAAGAGGGAUAGGAAGGGAUGGAAAGAGAGUGCAAAAAAGAGAGGGUAAAUAUAUAGAGGUCCCCUCAACUAUAGGCCAUUUUGAAAUAGUCUCCUCAACUUUUAUUUAUUUAUUUUUGAAUCGAUGCCCUUUUGACUUUUUUUUAUUGAGAAAUUAAUUCAGUUUUAUUCGCUACAGAGUAGUUAAUUACUCCAUUCUCUUUUAUUGAUACCCUUCUAAUCCAUAUUUUUAUUGAUACACUUCUAAUUUUUAGUUUUUGUUGGUAAUUAAGUUAAAAAUUUUGUUUAAUUUCGUAACUUAAUUAGCUAGAUAAUAGCAGUUAAUUAAAUUGAGUUUAAACUAUUAAAUUUUAUGAAAUCAUUAAUCAUUUUGGUUCAAUUCCUAGUUUAUUUGGCUAAAAUUAUUAUAUUCUAAAAAUUUGGGGUUCAGUGCGUCUUGACCCCAAAAAAAAAAAAAAAAAAAAAGAAAAAGAAAAAGAAAAGUUGAGG